rnacentral:ncRNA from 1 species
CAACCUCAACUCAUAUGGGACUACGCCCUGAAUUUAAGCAUAUUAAUUAGGGGAGGAAAAGAAACUAACAAGGAUUUUCUUAGUAGCGGCGAGCGAAAAGAAAUCAGUUCAGCACUAAGUCACUUUGUCUAUAUGGCAAAUGUGAGAUGCAGUGUACGGAACAUCAACAUUCUAGUAUGAGAAGUUAACGAUUUAAGUCCUUCUUAAAUGAGGCCAUUUACCCAUAGAGGGUGCCAGGCCCGUAUAACGUUAAUGAUUACUAGAUGGUGUUUCCAAAGAGUCGUGUUGCUUGAUAGUGCAGCACUAAGUGGGUGGUAAACUCCAUCUAAAACUAAAUAUAACCAUGAGACCGAUAGUAAACAAGUACCGUGAGGGAAAGUUGAA